rnacentral:lncRNA from 1 species
CAUCCAAUCUGAAUAUGUGGGAGGAGCACACCGCCCACAAAAAGCCACAGAUAUCUAUCUGUCUCCAGAUGCAAUUAUACAGUGCAACUAUAAAGAAUGGACAUAAAAUAGUGCUAUUUAUAAGGGGUGUUUUUGCAUGAAGAUCGUUGGAAAGGCUUGUUCUAGGCUACUUAGCGACAGAAACAGCAGCGGCAGAAAGAGAGGCGAGAGAGAGAGGGGUGUUGGGUAAAUGAAAGUGGGUGGGCCUAACGCGAACACACACACUACCAACUUCGAUCAGGAUACAUUUAUGCAAACACUUGAUUUUUCUUCUUCCGUUAAUAGAAUUUUACGCGCGACGGUCGUUAAAGUGUGUUUUCGGUUGGUUUUGAGGGGCUUCGGGCGCGGACAACGGACUCUUCCCCGUUAUAACGGGAGGUUUGAUUGUUGCUCGAGCUUGGUACCGCCCUUCCUGGCGGGUGGGUGGUUUCGGUGCUAACCGGAGCGACGCCACAGCCCCAGCGCGAGCCAUUCGCGGAGAAAAUAGGCCGUCCUUCCCCGGUGCUUCAGCCGGCCUUUCUCCCGUAGCCUCUCCUCUCCGGUUUAUGAAUGCGUUAUGAGUGAUCAGAAGACUGAAGUGUCAGGAUCAGAAGAAGGGAAACCAGGCAAGAAAGGCAAACGUUCCGGAUCACAGGAUUCCCAGACGUCUCCUCUAGCCCUGCUGGCUGCAACCUGCAGUAAGAUAGGAGUUCAGGGAGGAGUGGAGGGACAGGUGGUUAAAUGCAUGAUAAUAAUAUUUGUAUUGAAUAUGUACAGAGCCUUCAGAGAGUAUUCAUUCCCCUUGAUUUAUUCCACAUUUUGUUGUGUUACAGCCUCACUUCAAAAUGCAUUUAAUUGACUUGUUUUCUCACCCAAUCUACACACAAUACCCCAUAAUGAAAACCGCAAAUGUAUAGAAAGUGAAAUACAUAAAAAUCUAAUUUACACACAUGUUAGAAUCCCCUUUGGCAGUGAUUACAGCUGUGAGUCUUUCUGGGUAAGUCUAUAAGAGUGAUUACAGCUGUGAGUCUUUCUGGGUAAGUCUCUAAGAGUGAUUACAGCUGUGAGUCUUUCUGGGUAAGUCUCUAAGAGCGAUUACAGCUGUGAGUCUGUCUGGGUAAGUCUCUAAGAGCUUUGCACACCUGAAGUGGGCAAUAUUUACCCAUUAUUCUUCAAAACAUUAUUCAAGCUCUGUCAAAUUGGUUGUUGAUCAUUGCUAGACAACCAUUUUUUUGUCUUGCCAUAUAUUUUCAGCAGAGUUAAGUCAAAACUGUAACUCGGCCACUCAAGAAGUGAGUUGGUAAGCAAGUGUAGAUGUGGCCUUGUGUUUUAGGUCGUUGUCCUGCUGAAAAGUGAAUUCAUCUCCCAGUGUCUGUUGGGAAGUAGACUGUACCAGAUUUUCCUCUAGGAGUUUGCCUGUGCUUAGCUCUAUUACAUUCAUUUCUUUAUCCUGAAAUACUCCCCAGUCCUUGACGAUUACAAGCAUACCCAUAACAUGAUGCAGCCACCACUAUGCUUGAACAUUUGGAGAGUGGUACUCAGUAAUGUGUGUGUUGGGUUUGCCCAAAACAAAACACUUUUUAUUCAGGAAAAACAAGUGAAUUGCUUUGCCACAUUUUCUGCAGUAAUUACUUUAGUUUCUUGUUGCAAACAGGAUGCAUGUUUUGUAAUAUUUUUGCUCUGUACAGGUUUCCUUCUUCACUCUGUCAGUUAGGUUAGUGUUGUGGAAUAACUACAAUGUGGUUGAUCCAUCCCCAGUUUUCUAUCACAGCCAUUGAACUGUGUAACUGUUUUAAAGUCACCUUUGACCUCAUGGUGAAAUCCCUGAGCAGUUUCUUCCCUAUCCUGCAACUGAGUUAGGAAGGACACCUGUAUCUUUGUAGUGACUGGGUGUAUUGAUACACCAUCCAGAGCUAAAUUAAUAACUUCACUAUGCUCAAAGGGGUAUUCAAUGUCUGCUUUUUAAAUGUUUACCCAUCUAGCAACAGGUGCGCUUCUUUGUGAGGCAUUAGAAAACCUCCCUGGUCUUUGUGGGUUAAUCUGUGUUGGAAAUUCACUGCUUGACUGAGGGACCUUAUAGAUGUAUGUGUGGGGUACAGAGAUGAGGUAGUCAUUCAAAAAUCAUUAUUGCACACACAGUGAUACCAUGCAACUAAUGUGACCUAUUAAGCAAAUGUGUACUCCUGAACUUAUUUAGGCUUGCCUUAACAAAGAGAUUGAAUACUUAUUGACUCAAGACAUUUCAGAUUUUUUUUUCAUGAAUUUGUAAACAUUUUGAAAAACAAUUCCACUUUGACAUUACGGGGUAUUGUGACAAAAAAUCUUAAUUGAAUACAUUUUUAAUUCAGGCUGUAACACAACAAAAUGUUGAAAAGGUCAAAGGGCGUGAAUACUUUCUGAAAGCUCUGUAAAUGUUUGGUUUCUCCUAUAACUGUACUUGUUGCUGUUGUACUUGUUGUUGGAAAUGUAAGGUCUAUAACUGUACUUGUUGCUGUCGUACUUGUUGUUGGAAAUGUAAGGUCUAUAACUGUACUUGUUGCUGUCGUACUUGUUGUUGGAAAUGUAAGGUCUAUAAUAAUAAUAACCUAUAAAGGCUUUUACAUGCGA